CUACGGGCGGCUGCAGUGAGGAAUAUUGCACAAUGGGGGGAACCCUGAUGCAGCAACGCCGCGUGGAGGAUGACGCAUUUCGGUGUGUAAACUCCUUUUAUAUGUCAAGAAAAUGACGGUAGCAUAUGAAUAAGCACCGGCUAACUCCGUGCCAGCAGCCGCGGUAAUACGGAGGGUGCAAGCGUUACUCGGAAUCACUGGGCGUAAAGGACGCGUAGGCGGGCUUGUAAGUCAGGUGUGAAAUCCUACAGCUUAACUGUAGAACUGCACUUGAAACUACGAGCCUAGAGUAUGGGAGGGGGAGAUGGAAUUAGUGGUGUAGGGGUAAAAUCCGUAGAUAUCACUAGGAAUACCUAAAGCGAAGGCGAUCUCCUGGAACAUAACUGACGCUAAGGCGUGAAAGCGUGGGGAGCAAACAGGAUUAGAUACCCCAGUAGUC
rnacentral:rRNA from 1 species